AUCCCAUGACGUGGACAUUUUCUAAGCAACUUCUUAAAUCUUUCCCAAGAAUAAAAUAAAGAUUCAUCACCUACUUGUCUAAAUGAAGUGAUCUUAUUCCUCAUCUU